UUUCCGUAGGUACCUGGGGGAGGAUCAUUGUCGAACCU
rnacentral:rRNA from 1 species